CCACCCUACCUCCUACUCCUCCAGGCGGGCGCCGCCCCGUCUCCUCCUCCUCCCGGCCCACGCCACACCACCUCCUACUCCUCCAGGCCAUCGGCUUCCCCGGCCGUGCUCCUGCAUCUCCCCCGCGCACCUCCGACCCGCAGCACCGCCGAGGCGACGGCCCGGCCUUGCCGCAAGGUCCCCGUCGUGGAAUCCCCUCCCCCGAGCUCCCCCUUUGUCACCUGCCUUGCACUCGCGCACUACUCCAACUCCGGCACGUGGCUGCCGCCGUGGAACCGCGUCGGCGCCCCACCUCUCCAUCCUCCCAAUCACCCAUCGAUCCAGCCGAUGGAGGAGAGCAGCCGGCUCUCUUCUUCCUCACCGGCGAGGCCUGGGCGCCACCCUCCUCCUACACGGCCACCCCGGAGCCCGCCUGUUGUACCUGCGGGAUGACCCUGCCGCCAUCUUCCCCCUCCCCGAUCUGGGUGGUGGGCGUCGGCGUCGGGCAUUGUCCCCUGUUGGUGCCCAGCUUCCUCCUCUCCAUACAGUCCUUGCCUCCCAUCUUCCUGUACUGCAAGGCGAUGACUAGAUGUGAUCGCAAUAUGAAGGUCAACACCAUUCCACCUCUGCCAUGUGCAGUGCACACCUCGCGCCGCUGCAGUCCGCCACCUGCUAUGUCGCCGUCCACAACGGUGCAGUCCACGCCGCUGGAGUCACCCCCUAUACUUGUUUCCAGCCCGUGCAGCUCGCAGCACGCCGAUGUGCAGUGCGGUAGUGUGUAAGUAUAGGGACGUGAAAGGUGGGGAAGUGCAGUUUGGAGUUUUUACCCAUUCAAAGGUUGCAGUGCAGUUUGGAGUUUUUUGUAUAUUCAGAAACUUCAGAAAUUGCACUCUGGCUAAGUUUCUCCAGUGCAAAAUAAUGUUAUUACAUUCA